ensembl:lncRNA novel transcript
UACAGACCAGCACCGUCCAUGGCCUGUUAGGAACCGGGCUGCACAGCAGCAGGAUUAUGCUAAAGUCGCCAGGCAAGAGACCGAGAUGAGCCCACCUCACAAACCCAGAAACCUCAGAUCCAAGGCAGCUGUAUAAGGUACAGAUCGUUCCGGACUGUAGAAGAGAGGGUUAAUCCAACUUCAUCAGGAGAGAAAUGCCAUUAUCCACUGAACUAUUUCUUGACUAUCUCCUGUAUGCUGGUCAGUUUCACUCACAUUGUCUCAUUUAAUCUUUGACAAACUAAAUAAAAGUGUGAAGUAAA